rnacentral:rRNA from 1 species
AUUGAACGCUAGCGGGAUGCCUUACACAUGCAAGUCGAACGGAGUGGCGAACGGGUGAGUAAUGUAUCGGAACGUGCCCAGUAGCGGGGGAUAACUACGCGAAAGCGUAGCUAAUACCGCAUACUAUUGGAGCGGCCGAUAUCGGAUUAGCUAGUUGGUGGGGUAACGGCUCACCAAGGCAACGAUCCGUAGCUGGUUUGAGAGGACGACCAGCCAAAUGGGAAUGGAGACACGGUCCAGAGUCCUAAGGGAGGCAGCAGGGGGGAGUAUUGCACAAUGGGUGCAAUCCUGAUGCAGCCAUGCGGCGGGUAUGAAGAAGGGCUUCGGGUUGUAAAGUACUUUCAGCGGGGAGGCGUUAACCGCAGAAUAAGCACCGGCUAACUCCGUGCCAGCAUCCGCGGUAAUAC